rnacentral:rRNA from 1 species
CGCUGGAAUGCAUCGAGAUUUAAAGCUCCGGCGCCUAAGGAUGGGUCUGCGGCCUAUCAGGUAGUAGUGGGUGUAGCGUACCUACUAGCCUACGACGGGUACGGGUUGUGAGAGCAAGAGCCCGGAGAUGGAUUCUGAGACACGAAUCCAGGCCCUACGGGGUGCAGCAGGCGCGAAAACUUUACAAUGCUGGCAACAGCGAUAAGGGAACCUCGAGUGCCAGGUUACAAAUCUGGCUGUCGAGAUGCCUAAAAAGCAUUUCAUAGCAAGGGCCGGGCAAGACCGGUGCCAGCCGCCGCGGUAACACCGGCGGCUCGAGUGGUAACCGUUAUUAUUGGGUCUAAAGGGUCUGUAGCCGGCCGGAUAAGUCUCUUGAGAAAUCUGGCAGCUUAACUGUCAGGCUUUCAGGAGAUACUGUCUGGCUCGAGGCCGGGAGAGGUGAGAGGUACUUCAGGGGUAGGGGUGAAAUCUUGUAAUCCUUGAAGGACCACCAGUGGCGAA